CAGACGGACCCUUACCAAGCCCAUCACUACCGGCGAGAUGGGGUACCUAGACUGGGGGACCGCGCAGGAGCUCAGAGGCCAGAAUCUGACUGGCAGCUUGUUUCACUGUUGAUUCUUCAAGCACCAAUCAGGACGGGCCACCCCUGUAUACUGUGACUGGGGCAGCACCGGGGGAGCUUGGUCUGCUGGUUUCCAUCUUGGCUCUCCACGGGAUAUUCUGGCAGCAUGUUGGGUCCCUUUUUCUCCUGCUUCUCUGGUUGGGGCAGCUGAGUUUGAUUUGCGCACAUGUUCUGCUGUUUGCUGGAGGGCAGUAGACACUGGAGGAGACGGAGGAAUUUAAAGUCUUCCAGAUGCAAGCCAUUAGACCUGCAGGAGAGUAGGUCUGGGGCGAAGUCCAAGAUCCUCCAUUUUUAACAAGCUCCCAAAUGACUCUCCCGCUGCCAAUCUGUAGACCACACUUGGAGCUUCAGCAGAAGACUGGGAAGAGCAACAGAGGGAAGUCACUCAGAGAGCCAGUGUUCUGCGUGAGGCUGCUCUGUAGGAAUGCGGUCUGUAUGGGCCAGGGGCACACAGAGUGUCUUCAGGAGCAGGAAGGACGAGAAAAGACUUCGAAGGUGAGGCCGCUGGCCCCAGAGCUGCAGCCAAGAGCUGCCACCGUCGGGAGAGCCCCGUGCUGUGAACUUCCAGGAACUGCCAAUUGGAGCUGGCACUGAGCUACGACGAGGGAAGAAUCAAGUUAACAGGAUUGCUUAGCUAUUGGAACCCUCUUUGCAUCCUAGCCCAAGCCACACUUGAGAAUAAAGAAACUGGUCGUUUUUAUCACUUGCUGUCUAGAGGAGAGAAUCAGUCUCCCCCUGCACCUCCUGCUGAAAUUCAAAAAAUAUAUUAAUUUCCCAUGAAGUCCUGUCUGGGGCUUAUGUGUUCUUUUAUUUUUUUUCUCCCC